rnacentral:lncRNA from 1 species
GAAGUGAAAUCUGUUUGUGUUUUUAAUCCACACAGGCAGUUUCCCAUUAUAAUGAAGCUUUCACAGUUGAGUACCACUGAUCUCUUGUGUUCUUGAAAGUGAUUGGUGAUCAAAAUCACCCUUUUUGCAAGCAGCUACCUACUAUUACUCUCCACAGAGAAUAAUGAAUCACUACACACAGAAAUAUUAAGAUACCACUUAGAGUAUUAGAAUUUUAACCACUUCAUGUGGCUGAGGCACAGGGGCCUUUUCAGCCCCAACGCUAGUUUUCUCAAAAUUGGUCCUGCGGCCCAGCUUUGCUCUUAUGCUCUCCUGGGCCCAGGCUGCCUCCUGCAGUGUGGUGUGAAACUUAACUGUAAUUUGUUGUGACUGAUCCCUAAUGCAAGUGUUAACAGUGGCUACUUGCCAUGAGUAGGAGAGUGAGAGUAAGUGUUGUUUAUCCAGACAAGAAGUGAUACCAAAAUGAGACUGGAGGUGUGAUUCUAAUUUGCACCUCCGUUUCAUUUGCCCAGAGGAACUACAUUUUUUUGUCAUUAUUUCUGAAUAUAUAUAGUGACAGGGGAAGGCUUACCAAAUGCACUGCUAACAGAUGUGGCAAUCACACUUC